rnacentral:rRNA from 1 species
UUUAUGGAGAGUUUGAUCCUGGCUCAGGAUGAACGCUGGCGGCGUGCCUAAUACAUGCAAGUCGAGCGAACGGACGAGAAGCUUGCUUCUCUGAUGUUAGCGGCGGACGGGUGAGUAACACGUGGAUAACCUACCUAUAAGACUGGGAUAACUUCGGGAAACCGGAGCUAAUACCGGAUAAUAUUUUGAACCGCAUGGUUCAAAAGUGAAAGACGGUCUUGCUGUCACUUAUAGAUGGAUCCGCGCUGCAUUAGCUAGUUGGUAAGGUAACGGCUUACCAAGGCAACGAUGCAUAGCCGACCUGAGAGGGUGAUCGGCCACACUGGAACUGAGACACGGUCCAGACUCCUACGGGAGGCAGCAGUAGGGAAUCUUCCGCAAUGGGCGAAAGCCUGACGGAGCAACGCCGCGUGAGUGAUGAAGGUCUUCGGAUCGUAAAACUCUGUUAUUAGGGAAGAACAUAUGUGUAAGUAACUGUGCACAUCUUGACGGUACCUAAUCAGAAAGCCACGGCUAACUACGUGCCAGCAGCCGCGGUAAUACGUAGGUGGCAAGCGUUAUCCGGAAUUAUUGGGCGUAAAGCGCGCGUAGGCGGUUUUUUAAGUCUGAUGUGAAAGCCCACGGCUCAACCGUGGAGGGUCAUUGGAAACUGGAAAACUUGAGUGCAGAAGAGGAAAGUGGAAUUCCAUGUGUAGCGGUGAAAUGCGCAGAGAUAUGGAGGAACACCAGUGGCGAAGGCGACUUUCUGGUCUGUAACUGACGCUGAUGUGCGAAAGCGUGGGGAUCAAACAGGAUUAGAUACCCUGGUAGUCCACGCCGUAAACGAUGAGUGCUAAGUGUUAGGGGGUUUCCGCCC